rnacentral:rRNA from 1 species
GACGAACGCUGGCGGCGUGCCUAAUACAUGCAAGUCGAGCGGUGAAGCUUGGUGCUUGCACCAAUUUGAAGAGCAGCGCACGGGUGAGUAACGCGUGUGGAAUCUGCCUUUGAGCGGGGGACAACAUUUGGAAACGAAUGCUAAUACCGCAUAACAACUUUAAACAUAAGUUUUAAGUUUGAAAGAUGCAAUUGCAUCACUCAAACAUGAUCCCGCGUUGUAUUAGCUAGUUGGUGAGGUAAAGGCUCACCAAGGCGAUGAUACAUAGCCGAACGGAGAGGGGGAUCGGCCACCUUGGGACUGAGACACGGCCCAAAGGCCUUCGGGAGGCAGCAGGAGGGAAUCUUCGGCAAUGGACGAGAGUCUGACCGAGAAACGCCGCGGGAGUGAAGAGGGGUUUCGGAUCGUAAAACUCUGUUGGUAGAGAAGAACGUUGGUGAGAGUGGAAAGCUCAUCAAGUGACGGUAACUACUAAGAAAGGGACGGCUAACUACGUG